GACCAAGAGCAGAGGUCCUUGGGAAGUCAAUCCUAAAUCUACCUAUGGAUGUGGCAGCCUCAUCUAUUCACAUUCAAGCCAGACACUAUCAGUAAAACCAUCUCUUUUCACUCACAGAUGCUGGAUAAACCAAUAAUUAACCUCACUGAUGCCUCAACUUCCACAUCUGCGGAAAGGCGCCCCAUGCGGCUGACAUUUUUACGAAGCAAAAGCCAAAGUUACCCGCCCCCGUAAAGCUCUUAAAUUGUGCUUGCAAACAGGGACACCACGACUCAUUUCACUCUAAACCUGACAACCUAGCGCGCUCCAGCUGGAGACCACAGGAGGUAACGGGCAAAGUGGAAACUUUUCUCAGAGAUAAAACUAGUUCCUCUAAACAGUUUA